CAUGCUAGUCUAACGGUAACAGGAAGCAGCUUGCUGCUUUGCUGACGAGUGGCGGACGGGUGAGUAAUGUCUGGGAAACUGCCUGAUGGAGGGGGAUAACUACUGGAAACGGUAGCUAAUACCGCAUAACGUCGCAAGACCAAAGAGGGGGACCUUCGGGCCUCUUGCCAUCAGAUGUGCCCAGAUGGGAUUAGCUAGUAGGUGGGGUAACGGCUCACCUAGGCGACGAUCCCUAGCUGGUCUGAGAGGAUGACCAGCCACACUGGAACUGAGACACGGUCCAGACUCCUACGGGAGGCAGCAGUGGGGAAUAUUGCACAAUGGGCGCAAGCCUGAUGCAGCCAUGCCGCGUGUAUGAAGAAGGCCUUCGGGUUGUAAAGUACUUUCAGCGGGGAGGAAGGCGAUGCGGUUAAUAACCGCGUCGAUUGACGUUACCCGCAGAAGAAGCACCGGCUAACUCCGUGCCAGCAGCCGCGGUAAUACGGAGGGUGCAAGCGUUAAUCGGAAUUACUGGGCGUAAAGCGCACGCAGGCGGUCUGUCAAGUCGGAUGUGAAAUCCCCGGGCUCAACCUGGGAACUGCAUCCGAAACUGGCAGGCUUGAGUCUCGUAGAGGGGGGUAGAAUUCCAGGUGUAGCGGUGAAAUGCGUAGAGAUCUGGAGGAAUACCGGUGGCGAAGGCGGCCCCCUGGACGAAGACUGACGCUCAGGUGCGAAAGCGUGGGGAGCAAACAGGAUUAGAUA
rnacentral:rRNA from 1 species